rnacentral:rRNA from 1 species
CCCAAUGAUAUCUCUAGAAGGCAUCUGAAAGAGAUUAAAGAUUUAUCGGUGAUGGAUGGGGAUGCGUCUGAUUAGCUUGUUGGCGGGGUAACGGCCCACCAAGGCAACGAUCAGUAGGGGUUCUGAGAGGAAGGUCCCCCACAUUGGAACUGAGACACGGUCCAAACUCCUACGGGAGGCAGCAGUGAGGAAUAUUGGUCAAUGGACGAGAGUCUGAACCAGCCAAGUAGCGUGCAGGAAGACGGCCCUAUGGGUUGUAAACUGCUUUUAUAAGGGAAUAAAGUGAGUCUCGUGAGACUUUUUGCAUGUACCUUAUGAAUAAGGACCGGCUAAUUCCGUGCCAGCAGCCGCGGUAAUACGGAAGGUCCGGGCGUUAUCCGGAUUUAUUGGGUUUAAAGGGAGCGUAGGCCGGAGAUUAAGCGUGUUGUGAAAUGUAGAUGCUCAACAUCUGAACUGCAGCGCGAACUGGUUUCCUUGAGUACGCACAAAGUGGGCGGAAUUCGUGGUGUAGCGGUGAAAUGCUUAGAUAUCACGAAGAACUCCGAUUGCGAAGGCAGCUCACUGGAGCGCAACUGACGCUGAAGCUCGAAAGUGCGGGUAUCGAACAGGAUUAGAUUCCCUGGUAGUCCGCACGGU